AAACGAUUGAAGAUGGUUCACAUUAGUAAUGAUGCUGUGUUACAAAGAAAAAAAGGGGACAGAAACACCUUUUUGGUGAAGAAAGGGAGUGUUCCAACUUCUGUUUAACUGUUACAAGUAUGUUAAAAGGAAAGAUAAAUCAAACACAGAAAUGGCAGUAUACAAUCAAUGGCUUUGCUACACAGUUUUAUUGGCAACAAACUCACUUAUUGGUGAACACUAAUAAUAGCACAUCCAUCUCUUCGCGGCACAGAAAGGAAUCAGGAUGUUCCUUUGUGCAAGCAUUACUAACAGACCUACAAAUACUUCUACGCCUCUUCAUUUUGUGGGUUGCACGUCUUCCUCAGCUCCGCAUUGCUUGGUCCCUCUCUCUCUUACGACCUAUUUCUUUUGCCAUCUCCCUCAGUUCCUCGGGCGAUUGGGGCCUUACAGUUUCUGUAGGAUAAACUACAUAUUCACGAUGUCCCAUGACUUUCUGAAGAUUUUUGUUGUUGUUGGCAAAUAUGUACAUGAGACCAAUUGGAACUGAUACGUAUACUGCGAACUUUACUAUCUCUAAUACACCCUUUGAAGUUCCAAUAGACGACAUCGUCUUCUUCUUCUUCCUACUCAAAUGAAAAUCUGCUAAGCUUUAAUUUUG
rnacentral:misc_RNA from 1 species